AUGAUAACUAUUGUUAUAGGCAAAUUCAACUAAAGGUAAAUGAUCUUCCCAACUUCCUUUGAAGUCUAUGAUACAAGUUCUUAACAUAUCCACUAAUGUUUGUAUGGUUCUCUCACUCUGACCAUCAGUCUGAGGAUGAUAAGAUGUACUCAAUCUUAAUUGUGUUCCUAAGUGUUUCUGAAGGCUUUUCCAAAAAUUAGAGGUAAAACGUGGAUCUCGAUCUGAUACUAUGGAAACAGGUACUCCAUGCCUAGAGAUAAUUUUAUUGAUGUACAGUUUGGCAAGGUGAUCCAAGUUAUGAGUAAUUUUAAUAGGUAAAAAAUGAGCUGAUUUAGUUAAAUGGUCAACUAUUACCUAAAUGGCAUUAUGGCCUUUUUGUGUAGUUGGAAGGCCAACAACAAAGUCCAUGGUUAUAUGUUCCCACUUCCACUCAAGAAUUAGUAAGGGUUGAAGUAAACCACUCGGCUUUUGAUGUUCAGCCUUAACCCUAUGACACAUAAGACAUUUACUUACCCAUUCAGAUAUUUCUCUUUUCAUAUUCGACCACCAAAAGUGUCGACUUAAAUCCUUGUACAUUUUAGUACUACUAGGAUGUAUGGCAAAUUUAAAAUUAUGAGCUUCGUUCAAAAUUUCAUCUUUUAAAGCUUGGUUUAACGGAACCCAGAUUCGAUCUUCAUAUCUUAUUAUUCCAUCCUUAUCUAUUCUGAAAUUGUUAUACUUGUCAUGAGUUAUAUUAGACAUGUAUUUCUGACACUCUUUAUCCUUUUCCUGUAUCUCUUUGACUUUGUUAAGCAGAGAAGACACUCCCUCUAAAAUAUAUAAUUUUUGGGUAGAGGUAGUUGGACAUUCCACCUCAAUUUCUAAAUUUUCAAAAUCUUUUAUUAACCUAUCAUUGGGGGUUAAUACAUUCAACUUUUCCUGAUUCUUUCUACUUACCGCAUCAGCUACGACAUUGGCUUUACCGGGAUGAUAUAAGAUUUCACAGUCAAAAUCCUUUAUCAGUUCUAACCAUCUUCUCUGCCUUAAAUUUAGUUCCUUUUGUGUAAAAAUAUAUUUCAAACUUUUAUGAUUUGUAUAUAUUUCACACUUCUCCCUGUACAAGUAAUGUCUCCAAAUUUUUAGAGCAAAAACUACCGCGACUAACUCUAAAUCAUGAGUAGGAUACCUCUUCUCAUAAUCUUUGAGUUGUCGUGAUGCAUAAGCUAUCACUUUCCCAUAUUGCAUCAACACACACCCUAAACCUUUGUGUGAUGCGUCACUAUAUACUACAAGACCUCCUGUAUCAUCUGGUAAGGAUAACAUUGGAGCCAUGCUUAGUCACUUCUUCAACUCUUGGAAGCUUUCCUCACAUUUAUCUGUCCAGACGUAUUUCACCGUCUUUCGAGUUAAAUUGGUUAAUGGGGUUGCUAUUUUUGAAAAAUCUUUUAUAAACCGUCGAUAAUAACCCGCUAAAUCGAGAAAACUUCGUACUUCUGUUGGAGUUAUUGGUUGUUCCCAAUUCACAACCGUUUUGAUCUUAGUUGGAUCUACAGAUAUACCAUCCUUUUCAAUCACAUGACCUAAAAAUUGAACUCUGUUCAACCAGAAUUCACACUUGGAAAACUUUGCAUAAAGUUAUUCCUUUCGUAAUAUCUCCAAAAUGACUCUCAAGUGUUUAGUAUGCUCAUCCCGUGUUUUCGAGUAUACCAGAAUAUCAUCGAUAAACACUACAACAAAUUUGUCUAAGCAUGGUUUAAACACUCGAUUCAUUAAAUCCAUAAAUGCUGCCGGUGCAUUUCUCAAUCCAAAAGACAUUACCAGAAACUCAUAAUGUCCAUAGCGUGUCCUAAACACUGUUUUCGGCACAUCCUCCUUUCUUACCUUUAAUUGAUGAUAACCUGUUCUAAGGUUAAUUUUUGAAAAAUGUUCGGCCCCCUUUAAUUGGUUAAACAAAUCAUCAAUCCUUGGUAAAGGAUAUUUAUUCUUAAUAGUUAAUUUAUUUAGUUCUCUAUAAUCUAUACAUAGUCUCAUAGUUCCAUCCUUCUUCUUUACAAACAAUACUGGUGCUCCCCAAGGUGAAACACUAGGUUGUAUAUACUUUUUAUCUAAGAGUUCUUGUAAUUGUAUAAGUAACUCUUUCAGUUCUAUAGGUGCCAUUCUGUAUGGUGCCUUAGAAAUUGGUGUCGUUCCUGAUGCAAGAUCAAUGACGAACUCAAUUUCCCUAUCUGGAGGUAAUCCUGGUAAGUCAUCUAGAAAUACAUCGGAAAAAUCCUUAACUAUAGGUAUUUGAUCUAGUUUUACUCCUUUCUGUCGAGUAUCAACUAUAUAGGCCAAAUAACCUAAACAACCAUUUCUAAGUAAUCUUUCUGCUUGAACUAUAGUCAAACAUCGAGAUUGCUUAGGUGAAUAACUACCAUUGAACACUACUUUUGACUUCGAAGCAAUCAAAAGAUUUAUACGCUUUUGAUGACAAUCAAUCAUCGCAUUAUGGUUAACUAACCAAUCCAUUCCUAAAAUUACAUCAAAUUCUCCCAACUGGAUUGGUAAAAGAUCUACCGCAAAGUUAUGUCCUUUUAUUACCACACUACAAUUUUUGUAUAUGGUUUUAACCGAAAUUCUUUCAUUAUUAGCAAUUUCUACACAAAAUGGUUUGUCUAAAUUUUCACAAGGUAUAUUCAAGUUUGUAGAAAAACGUUUAGACACAAAAGAACAUGUAGCACCAGAAUCGAAUAACACGUAUGCAUUUAAAGUGUUGAUAGGGAUGAUACCUGUCACCACGUCCUAUAAAGCAACAGCAUCCCUCACCGACAUAUUAAAUGUUCUCAUGGUAGGUCAAUUCUGAACCCCAACUGUAGCUACGGUUGAUUGAUUAUUCUCUGGUACUCUAUUCCCCUUUCCUCCUUGGUUCUUGGGUUUAGGACAAUUCUUAGAAAAAUGGUCCAACGAACCACAAUUAAAAUAUUUAUUUUUAUUUGGAAGAGGACACUGUGGAGAAAAAUGUCUUGAUUUUCCACAAUUAUAACAUUUGUUACGAAAGCAUUCUCCUUUAUGUUUCUUACCACAAGUAGGAAAAGGUUUAAUGAUAUUAUAACUAAAGUUGUUAUUAGUAUUUCCUAUCUUUUUCCCCGGGUUGUUAGAAAAAGUAUUAUCCCAUUUUCGUUUGUUAUUAAACCCACCUGAACUGGGUUCUGUCCUAAUUUUCUCUUUCUCAUUUUGACUUUUCUUGUCCUGGUGAAACUUAGCAAGACUUUCAUUCUCACUUUUAGCUAUAGUAGUUUUCUCAAGUAUUUCAGAGAAAGUCUUUAUUUGGAGUACUGACAACUUACUCUGAAUCUGAGGUUUAAACCCUCCUGAAACCUACUAGUCUUUCUAAGUUCAGUAGUUACCUAAUGAGGAGUAAACCUGGACAGUUCAUUAAACUUGGUUGUAUACUAGGUUAUAGUCAGGUCUCCUUAUUUUAAAUCCAAAAAUUUUAUUUCUAUACGAUCUUUCAGGGAUUGGUAAAAAUAGUUUUCAAAGAACAACUCUUUGAACCUAUCCCAAGGAACAAUUUCAAUUUCUACCCGACCUUUGGUUGAUUCCCACUAAUAAUUAGCCUCACCCUUCAAGAAAAAGGUUGCAAAAGUUGUCUUUUGGUUAUUAUUGACAUUGGUUACUAGGAAAAAUUUCUCUAUCUUAGAAAUCUAAAUUUGUGCAUCUACAGGUUCUGAUGUACCUUUAAACUUAGGUGGUCCAACUAAUUUAAAGUCUUUGAAAGAUGUGUUUUGGUUCACAGGUCUAUUUAUAACUCCUAGUAUAAGUUCUACUAACUGCUGGGUAGAAUUAUCAUCAUUCAUUUCUCUUUGGGGUCUUCUGGUUGGUGGCAUGAUGCUAAACAACAACAACAAAAUUCACAUAAGAAUUUUUAAUAACAAACAUAUUGCUUAUUUUAUAUAUCCCAACGAUCGUUCACAACAACUUAAUAGUUAAACAUACUACUAUCUUACAAGAUACUGGUUACAAUACAAACUUUGAAUGCUUCUUUAUUCAUACUAAUAUAAAGCAUUCAACCAAAUAUACUAAUCUCUUAGAAUUCAUUGAUAUCAUUAAAGGAAUCCUGAAUCAUGUGACAAACCACAGAUCGAUCGAUGAGAUAAGCAGUUUUCUUCUCCUCUACCGGAUAUCGAGCUACACGGGGCUGCAAAUCAUUAAAAGUAUCUUGAACUCCCAGAGAUGUUUUAAGAAGUCUUGACUGAAUUUCCUUCCUGCCCCUUUGUGCAUGGUGCAGUUGUACUUUUAGUCGAUGACUAUGCCCCCUCUCAUGCUGUAGCAUUCCCUCAGCUAGAUCAGCCCUAAACUUCAUUUUAUUGUUUCAUAUUCUGUUGUCUGCAUUAGUGAUGCCAUUGCUUCAGCAUGCUCAUCAAUUCGCAUUAAUUGUCCUGCUACUGGAUCUUCUUCUUCCUCAGCAUCUAGCAGUUGGUGAUCAUGAAGCAAUUCUUCCUCUUCUGCAUCACUAGCUAUAAAUGACUCGAUUUGUGAUGGAUUGUUUACUAUCACCAUUUCUUCAACAUCGAAGUAGGCCAUCUAUAAAAGAAAGCUCCUUUAAUACUGGUAUAGGAAUUCACACAACAUAUAUAUUUUUAAUGUUAUAUUUUAUGUGUACUUUAAAAUUUUUACGGACUCAAAGACUAUAUACUAAGAUUUCUCUUCCUUAUAUCUAUAGCCUUGAAGCUCUGAUACUAAAAUUAUAACGCCAAUGGUACUUUCAACCAAAGCACCUCACAAGGGUACCUAUCAAUUUCCCACCGACUUGCUCGGCGUCCCCUACGGAAAGUCUGGCUUCAGUGCAUUCCCUUAUAGGGACGUCACCAGCAAAAGGCUCGGGGUUCUUCAUGCAUUGCGCUUAUAGCUUUGAUACCAAAAUUGUAACACCCCCAUAUCUAUACUCCCGUGGUAUCCGAUAUGGUGUUUAUAGUGAAUCAACAUAAUGCAUUUAAAUCUAUACACCCAUGGUAUCUGAUUAAAAUAUUACAUUAAAUAGAGGGACUAUCAGAUAUAAUUCCCAUAGAUUCAAGAUUCACAGUAUCCUAUAACAGAUGGUAAUUCUCAAGAGAACUAUUACUGUGUUUGGAUACCCUCACUUGAAUAUAUGAACUAUAUGUGACUAGAGUCUAUCUAUCCAAAAUUCAGAGUACCAGUAAUAACAUGAAUAGUCCAUAUUACUAAUACCCUCACCCAGAUGUAUAGUCUAAGCCAUGCGAAUUUAUACUAUCGUAUCGAUAGUAACUAUCUAUCUGAAAUCAUGAGUAUCAAUAACAACAUGAACAGUCCAUGUUAUUAAUACCCUCACACAGAUAAAUAGUUCCCAAGGAUCUCAACUAGAUUCGAAGAAGUCUAAUUUUACAUCUAUAUAUGUAAGAAAACAUGGUUGCGGAAAUAAAAGAUGUUAUAUAUAUAUAUAUAUAUAUAUAUAUCAUAAUAUUAAGAUUUGAUUACAUGAUUCUCAUAACGAGUUUCUUAUUACAAGGUAUUCAAAUAGACAAGAAUAUAAUCUAAUCUAAGCAGGGACGCUUUCCUUUAUUUACUCCAGAUGUUCCAGGGUUACCAUCUAAAACUGCAAAGGGAAUAAUUCGCAAGGGAGAGCUAUGACAUGCUCAGCAAGUUUUGUAUUUAUAACAAUAUAUGAUUUAAAGAAAUACAACCAUUCAAAUUUCGACUGAUAGUUGUUACCAUUUCACUAUAGAUUUUAUUUCUAUCAGACACACACACUUAGAAAUUUUGUUCAGAUAUGAGAUAGGAGAUCAGCCUAUUCAACAUCUUAGGAGUAUGCAUCUCAUCCUACCAGUACUCAAAUGCACCCAACUUAGUUUCAAUAUAUUAUCGACCGAAAGAUCCCAUACGGGAUACCCAACUUCAGAUAGGAUGUCUUACCAAAUAAUUUGGUUUGACACAACAAUUUAAGCUUAACAAUCAAUAUGAAUAAAUAAUUCAUUUCUUAGUUAUGCUAAAGCUAUAGCAAUAACCUUACAAUAAGAGGUAAUUCAAAUGUAGGUGUAGUAUAUUAUAUCAACAGCAUAUCAAGAUAAAAAAAUCUUGUUCAACGAGUAAAUAGGUUGAGAAAUUUGCAAUAAAGAAAUAAGUGUGGGAUUUAGGAAACUUGCCUGAGCGUAGAUCAGUUAAGUAAUGCUAUUUAAAUCGUUAAAAAUACCUACGAUGUUCAUAUAUAUAAUUCUAACAUGUUAGUAUUCAUAAUAAUACUCAAUUAUAUCAUUUACAUAUGAUCGGGUUGGAUUAAAUAAGGUUUCGGUGUUUAAUACCUUUACCGAAUAUUGAAUAAGUUGAUAAAUGGACUAAAUUUUAUUUAUAAAAUUUUAUUAUAUUGUUAGAUAAUUUAAUUAUCCUUUAUAAUACUUUUUAGAAGUUUUAAAGUAUUUUUAAAAUAUUUAUUUAUCAUUUAAAUGAUUUUUAAAUCAUUUACUUCUAUUUAAUAUUUACUUAAAAUUUUACAAAAUAUUGUUUAUUAUUUUUAAAUAAUUUAUAUUCAUUUAUUAUAAUUUUUAUAUCAUUAAUAAUAUUUUUCCAUAAUUAUUUAAUAUUUAUAAAUAAUUAUUCUAAUUUCUUUAUUAAUAAAUUAAUUAUUAAUAAUAUCUAAAUAAAAUAAAAUAAUUAUUAAAUUUAUGUAAAAAUAUCAAAAUUUAAUUAUAUUUAUUUAAUAUAAUUUUUAAAACUAUUUUUAUAUUUAUUUAUUAAUUAUUUCUAAUUUUUAUAAUUUAUUUUUAGAAAAAUCAAUUUUUGUCUGUCGCUAAAGCCCUUCAGUGACAGAAAUUGUCGUUGUAGGUGUUCUUGAGUUCUGGGCAACAGUUCGAUCAUGGUCGAGUGACCAGUUUGACCACUAGUUAAAAUGCUACUGAUAAUGAUUCUUGGUUUGUUCAAGAGUUGAUGUUGUAGUACUCAUACAGUAGUACAAUAUGAAACAAAAUUUAGGCUUUAACCUACAUAUAACAAGAAGUUAUAGAGGCUCAAAGUCACUGUCAGAGUUGUUCUUGAGUUUCUGGGUAACCCAGAACAGUAGUUAUGGCCCGUCAACGAUUUUGUGGCUUGAAUAUCUUUGAUUUUGUGUAUUAGAUGUGUGUGGUGUUUGUUGUAACAUGUAGUAUAUAUGUCAGGGUACAUAUAUAUAACAUUAACUUGAACAAAGCAUAAAUCUAAGGUCUCUAAUUAUGCUGGUCAAAGUACAGCCAAACGAUGUUAUUCGUGUUCUUCAGUUUUCUGGGCAACCCAGAAAACUUGGUCAAGCUCGGUCAACGACUUUUGACCAUUAAUUCCAGUAAUCCUAUUAGUUGUUUUAUCAAUUUGAGAUCAUAGAUAUGUAGUACAUAUAACAAGGUAUUGAUCUAUAACAAAACCUUACAAAAACAACAAACAGAAAGCGAUUAAAAAGAUUGGUCAAAGUAGCCGGUUCGACUGUUCUUGAGUUUUCUGGGUAACCCAGAAAACUACAAUCCGUGAACGGUUAACCCACUUUGACCACUUAUAACUUGCAAUCUAUGGUUCUAAUUAACCUGUUUCCUUUUCCAGAUUAAAGACCUACUAACAAGCUACAAAUACCAAACAAUUAACAGACCAAAACAUAAACACAUAUGAAUCUACAAGCCCUGACAUUCGGCUGUCAGACUUAGUUUUCAAAAUUUCCAGAUUUCUUAAAACACUUAAUUAAGGCAUCUAGUUGUUAUGAAAACAUGUUCUACCAAUCUAACAUACUUUCUAACAUACUAAUACAUAAUUCUAAACAUCUAAACAACAAAACUAACACAGGAUCAAAGAGCUAAUUAUGAAUUAGGGUUUGCACCUUUUCUUAAAUGAUUUUCGAUUCUAGCUUCUGAUGUUGUUGCUGCUAACACCCAGGCUUGAUUUGGUAAGUUUAUAAGUGUAUCUAGGCUUAGAAAUUUCAUGAGUUUGCUUAGCCCUAAGGUUCCUAUUAAUAGAAUUCUUCAACUUGGUUUUUUUGUUAUUUUUGAGCAACUUGCCUCCACAAAUAUUUGAUGCUAAGUUACUUGUGCUGCUUAGGGUUUGUUAUCAGCUCAUGUGCAGCCUUAGAACUUGGUUGGGUGACUCCUAACCUACUUGUAAACUAGUUUGAUUAGUUUAGUACCUUGAUUAUGCCCUAAUCCUCAUUAAUCUUGAUUAGGGUUUUGUUUUUAAUGAUUAGGAUUGUUAAAUGAUGUUUAUUAGUACCUAAUUGAAGUUUACUAACCAUGAUUAGAUGUUAACAUAAAUUAAUUAGGGUUAGGUUAGCUAAUUAGGGUUAGGUUUACAAAUUAGGGUUAGGGUUUUACUAAUUAGGGUUAGGGUUUGUUAAUCUAGGGUUAUUAACCUAAAUUUCUCAAUAAUCCUAACAAGCACGACAAAGCGUUUUGUCAGUGUAAGCACGACAAAGCAACUUGCCAAAACAAAUUUACCGAAAAGUCCGUUUUCGAAAGAAAAUUUUAAGUACGAGGUGUCAAGCACGACGAUUUUCGGACAAAAUUUUAUUUGAUCAAAUUUGUUAAGCAAAGUAUAUAUUAACACAUAACACAUUCAGAACGGAGAAAUUUUAUUGAUAUAACUAAAUUUUACAUAACCGAAUCUUAUUAGGGUUUCGGGUUUUUACAUAACCUCUAUGUGCUUUGUAUGUGAAUGCAAAACAUGAUUUUUUGAAAUAUCAACAGUGCUAGAAUUAUCACAAUAAAUAGGCACACUAUCACAUAAAACAUCAAACAUUACUUUAUUUAAUUUACUUAUUCUCUUAAAUAUUAACCAAUUCAUUUAAUUUAAUUAUUUCAUUAAAUUAAAUCUUUCAAAUAAAAAUUACCAUUAUUCAAUUUCAUUACUAAAUUAAUGCACCACAAUUCAUCAAUUAUUUAUUUUUCUUAAUAAAUAAAUUAUUUAAAAAUAUUUAUUUAAUUCAAUAAAUAUUUAAAUUAAUUACAAAAAAUUUCGAUCGUUACAUCCUUUCCUCCUUUAAAGGAUUCUGUCCCCAGAAUCACGACUCAAAAAAAAUUAUAUUCAUUACAUUUUUCCCUCCUUAACAGGAUUCUGUCCCCAGAAUCGCUAUAAAAGAUUAAGAAAAUAACUGAGGAUAAUUCUUCAUCAUAACAUUUUCAAGUUCCCACAUAGCUUCUUCAGCAUUGUGGUUUCUCCAGACUACCUUAACAGAAGGUAUCACUUUAUUCCUCAAUACUUGCUCUUUCCUGUCUAUAAUUUGAACAGAGACUUCUUCAUAUGACAAAUCUUUCUCAAACUGUAAGGGCUCAUAUUCUAUAACAUGUUUAUAAUCAGGCUUAUAUGGCCUCAAUACUGAUACAUGGAAAAUGUUAUGAAUAUGCUCCAACUCCGGAGGUAAAGCUACCUCGUAUGCCACUUCACCAACUCGUCGAAGCACCUCAAAAGGUCCUAUAAACCUAGGGCUUAAUUUCCCCUUCUUGCCAAACCGAAUUUUCCCCUUCCAGGGAGACACUUUCGAGAAAACGAAACUACUGACAUCGAAUUCCCUAUUUUUUUGAUGCUGAUCGGCAUAUUUCUUCUGUCUAUCCUGUGCAGCUAUCAAUCUUGCUCGAAUAACCUAGAUGAUCUCGAUAGUCUGUUGUACCAAUUUUGGACCCAAUAGCUGACGUUCACCUACCUUAUCCCAGCAUAACAGAGAUCUGUAUUUCCUGCCGUAUAACGCUUGUGACGCCCCCAAAUUCGGGUAUCUUCCAACCCGACAGAUGGUGUUCCACUGUACUAAUAUUCAUACAAUCAUUCCAUUGAAAUACAACAAAAUGAAUGUAAUUACUAUCUUCUUAUUAUAAUCAAAGUAUAAUCCUUCCCAGGUUCAUAAACCGAUUACAUCGUUCAUUGUUCAUAAUGUAUAAUACAUACAAACUUACUAAUCUAUUACACAAUGGCUAAGCAUCCAUCUUAGCUUUGCCCUUAUCUCUCUUGGCAUUCUCAGUACGUUCAUCCUUAACUGCAGUUAUAUAAUUCACGCAAGAAGUGAACAUGAUAGCCCAACAAGUUUAACAAAGGAUAACAGUAAUACCACAUUCGUGAAUUAUAUAACAAUUCUUACAUAACUGAAUAAAUAGUUAUGAAGUAUUAUGAAGCAAUAAUAUUUUAACAGUUCAUAACAUCAAUUCCCAAAGUAUAGAAUAGAUUAGGAAUUCUGAACCGAUCGAUAGACCAUGAACAGUAACUUUCAGUUUUCAUACUGGAAAAGGAUUUCACAGCACUAAGGCUGUUACGUCCGCAUUACUUACGAGCACUUCUAGGUGAUCAGCCUAUUGUACUCUAUGUUGAUCAACACUCGUUCAUUAAACGUAUUUACGUUUAAUAUUUUUGGCAAACUCGCGUGCCCAUCGAAUAAUCGAUGAAAAAUACUUUUGUUUGUUCAUAAACAAACCUUACCUUUACGUCCGUACAAAUUACUUGGCAUAGGAUAGCGUUAACAUUUCUAUAUAGAAAGAUAUGAAUCAUAAUCAAUCCAUGUCUUACGAAUAGUCUAGCUGAGUUAAAAUUUGGCAUCGACCCUUUCUUUAAAACCAGUCGUGCAACUCAGUUCAAUGAAUCACAUAAAACUUGGCUUACUUGGAAGUUAGACAAGCGUUAAGAAAACUUGCCUUUCAGCGUCUUCAAAUAACUUAAUCGACUGACCACAGCCUUUACAGAAUCUACAUGAUAUAUUCACAUAGCACACUGUAAUUAGCUAUCAAACAAUUGUUCACAAUGCUCCUACAAACUUCUUUCUCUUCUAUGUCUUAGUUAACUUAAUAUCAUUAAUAAAGUCAACUCGACUUAUUACCCUUCGUCCCGACUUAUUAACCAACUGACGUUAUUAACUGGACUCUAACAUUGUUGGCGAAGUACCAACGUUGUUCAUCAUUCAUAACCUAUUAACAUGCAUUCAACUCCUAAAUUCAAUACCAUAUACCUUAGCAUAGGUAGUAUAGGAAUAGCUUUAAUACACUUAUGAAGUGUACAAACAUUACCCCUAUAGGUCCCUGAACAUUUGAAGUUCGAAACCUAAGUCACUAUCCAAAGCCUUACACUCGCGCUGCGGCGCGGCCUCUAUAGCACUAAACUGGCGCUGCGGCGCCAGUUAGCAGUGUCUAGCUUCCGGUCUCGGCGCUGCGGCGCGAGACUUUAUACUCACAGUGGCGCUGCGGUGCCAUUUAGCAGUAUGCAACUACACUAUGUCGGCGCUGCGGCGCGGCAUUUAACACUAUGUCUGGCGUCGCGGCGCCAGACCUCAGUACCAAAUUUUCUCAACAGUUAGAAAAUUUUAUGAAAUUCCCAGGGCCGUAACUUCUUCGUUAUAAGCCCGAUUUGGUCCGUUCAAAAGCCAACAUGUCAUAAAUGACAUAUUCUACGCGUUUAUAUAAGAAUUCGACACUUUCGAAUCCAAUAACUCAAAAUUCACUAUUGAGUUCAAUUUCUAAAUGUUUGUAAACGUUAAUGAGCGUUCAAUGCUCGUUUUCUUCGUUUUAAGUCAGAAUCCGAAGAUUUUCAAACCCACAACUCUUAAUUACCCUAUCUCACGUGUUGUCAUUGAAAAACAAUGUUUUCAAGUCUCACGGCAACUUUCGACUACCAAUCCAGAAUUUCAACAUUUUCGACGUUUAACAUCUAUUUCCGUGAAAUUCACCAUAACUUCGUGACUAAUGUUCUUUAAGCUAAAUCACAUGGAAUUCUCCAUGGAUUUCAUAUCUACAUCCUAACCAAACAAGAUGCACAUAUUAACGUAUUGAUGGAGUUCAAUUGUUCAUCAAUAAUCAAUCUCAACAAUCAAUAUUUUUAUGGUUUAAAAUUAUAUCGAAUCUCAUGAUUCUUAUGAUCUCAUGACUUAUAGAGAUUGAAUCUAUGGUAAGUCACUCUUAUUCCACCAUACAAACCAUACCCCACCCAUCUCUAUGAUAAAAGAAAACCAAAAGAGAUGAAAGUAGAAAUAAGGAAUAUUACCUUUAAGAACUCUUAGUGUUCUUGAUGAACUUCUAAUGAAAAAGCUUCAAGGUAGAAGAAAUUUUUAAGUCUAGCUCUCUUUCUCUCUCAAAUAUAUAGGUUGAGCCUUGGAAAAACAUCAAAUGGCCAACUCUAGCUUUCUAUUUAUAAACAAAUGAAAUGGAGGGUAAUCUAGACAUUACACCACUCCACCUCCUUACUAUUCACACUUAGUCACCAAGUAAAAUGCUUGGUGACCAAGCCUUAUUCUUGGCUUGCACACCAAGGUGGCCGGCCCACCCUUGCCAUGGGUCAUCCCAUGGGUUGCCCCAUGGGUUUUACCCAUUCGGUGACCCACCGGUUCGAUUUUCUUGCAUUGGGCUUAACCAAUCUAAUAUUGGGCCUUGACUUGGGCUUAACAUAUUAAUUCCUUGGGCUUGCCUCUAUAAUUGAUUGGACUUGGCCUAAUCCAAAACAAUUUAAUUCAAAUUAAGUCUUAACUUAAUUCAAUAAUACUAAUCGUAUUCUAUACGUAUAAUUCACGUAUUCUCACCGUAUACUACUCGUACAAUAAUCGUAUUAUACAUCGCAUUUACUCAUCGUAUUAUACAUAGAUACUAAAUAAUAUCAUAAAUGUAUAACACUUUCAUUAACUCUAACGCAAUUCCCUCUACGCGUUUCAUUUCCUUCUCGGAAAUCAAUAUACUCAACCCUUAGGUUUUAAGUCCGCAGGCGAAAACUGUGUUUGCCAUAAAUGAAAUAUUAUCAGAUAUUUCAUCUUAUCUCAAUAUUCUAUCAUUACGCGUUUCUCAGAAUUUCAAAAUAAUUCCCCGAACAGAAACGGAUGAAUAGUGUUUUUACAAAAAUUUCUCAGAAAACAUUUAUUUUCGUCUUGGAAAUUCUAAACAAUUUAUUCUAGCACGUAGCCAAAUUACUAACCACGUUAGCACAUUCUAGGUCAUAGAACGACCUUCACAUAGCUUACUCACAUAAUAAAUCAAUUAAAUUCAUUUAAUUCACAUAAUCAAAUAAAAAUAUAAUUGUCAUAAAAAUUUGAUUUUCUCGAGCGUUACAUUCUCUCCCCCUUAUAAGGAUUCUGUCCCCAGAAUCUUAGCUUAUAAUUAUAUGAACAAAUGAGAAAAAUCUUCCUUCAUUUUACUUUCGAGUUCCCACGUUGCUUCUUCAGCAUUGUGGUUUCUCCAUAACACCUUCACUGAAGGUAUGACCUUAUUUCUUAAUACUUGUUCCUUCCUAUCAAUAAUUUGAAUUGUAAGUUCCUCAUAGGAUAAAUCUUUCUCUAUCUGGAUAGAUUUAUACUCUAUUACGUGCUUAUAUUCCGGUUUAUAAGGACAUAACACUUACACAUGAAACACAUUAUGAAUGCGUUCCAUCUCUGGAGGUAAGGCUACUUCAUAAGCCACCUCUCCUAACCUUCUUAAAAUUUUAAAAGGUCCUACAAACCUUGGACUUAACUUCCCUUUCUUUCCAAAACGUAUCAUCCCCUUCCAAGGUGAUACUUUCAGAAAAAUAAAAGAUCCUACAUCGAAUUCUCUCUUUUCUCUGUGAGGAUCCGCAUACUUCUUCUGCCUAUCUUGAGCAGCAACUAAUCGAGCACGUAUUAACUUCACCAUGUCCGCCGUUUGUUGUACCAUCUUAGGUCCCAACAUCCGACGUUCACCCACCUCAUCCCAACACAAAGGAGUUCAGCACUUCCUUCCAUACAACGCUUCGUAAGGCGGCAUGCCUAUACUAGCGUGAAAACUAUUGUUGUACAAAAAUUCCACCAACGGUAGAUAUUCGUCCCAACUCCCUUUGAAAUCCAUAAUUCAAGAUCUUAACAUAUCUUCAAGCGUUUGAAUUGUCCUUUCACUCUGACCAUCUGUCUGAGGAUGAUAAGCCGUACUCAAUCUUAACUGCGUUCCCAUUUGUUCUUGUAAACUCCUCAAAAAGUUCGAUGUGAAUCGUGGAUCAUGAUCUGACACAAUCGAAACAGGUACUCCAUGUCUGGAAAUAAUUUCCUUGACAUACAGCUUAGCUAACUGAUCUAGGUUAUACCUAACACCUAUUGGUAGAAAAUGAGCCGAUUUCGUCAAUCGAUCCACUAUCACCCAAAUAGCAUCGUAACCUUUUCUGGUUGUCGGAAGUCCCACCACAAAGUCCAUUGUGAUGUGCUCCUAUUUCAACUCUGGAAUUUCUAACGGUUGCAACAACCCACUAGGUCGUUGGUGUUCAGCCUUAACUUUUUGACAAGUUAAGCACCUACUAAUGUAUUCUGCUAUCUCCCUUUUCAUAUUCGGUCACCAAAAGUUCUGACGAAGGUCUUGAUACAUCUUCGUACUACCGGGAUGUAUCGAGUACCUCGAACUAUGAGCCUCCAUCAUUAUUUCCUCCUUUAAUUUGGGAUCAUUCGAAACCCAAAAUUUUCCUUCAAAACGAAGUAAUCCCUCCUUAUCGAGGUUAUACUUAGUCUUCUCUUCAUCUUCUAUCCUCUUCUCUAUCUGCUCGCAUUCCUCGUUACUCAAUUAUACUCCCCUAACCCGUUCCGCUAUGGUCGGUUGGGUUUCCAUGGAAAAUAACAUUUCCACCGCUUCCUCUGGUAACUUAACUUCUAACUCCAUGUUUGCCAUCGCUGUUAUCAACUCAUUCUGAAUUUUUAGCAUUGACAGUUUCUCUUUACCCUUCCUACUUAGCGCAUCGGCUACUACAUUUGCUUUUCCCGGAUGAUAUAAAAUAUCACAAUCAUAAUCUUUUAUUUAACUCUAACCACCUUCUCUGUCUCAUGUUCAACUCCUUCUGCAUGAAGAUAUAUUUCAGACUUUUGUGGUCCGUGUAUAUCUCACACUUCUCACCAUAUAGAUGAUGCCUCCAAAUCUUCAAGGCAAACACUACAGCUGCUAAUUCCAGAUCAUGAGUAGGAUAGACCUUCUCAUAAUCCUUUAAUUGACGUGACGCAUACGCAAUGACCUUGCCAUACUGCAUGAGCACGCAACCCAGUCCUUUAUGCGAAGUAUCGCUAUAUACUACAAAAUUUCCUGUAUCGUCGAGUAAGGACAAUUCAGAUGCCUCACUUAAUCUCUUUUUCAACUCCUGAAAACUGUUCUCACAUUUUUCAGUCCACAUAUACUUAACCGACUUUCUUGUCAGAUUUGUUAAUGGAGUAGCUAUUUUAGAAAAGUCCAGAAUGAACCUUCUAUAGUAUCCCGCUAACCCCAGAAAACUCCGAACCUCGGUUGGCGUUUUUGGUUGCUCCCACUCAUUAACUGCUUCUACUUUUUUCGGAUCUACGGAAAUGCCAUCCUUAUCAAUAACAUGCCCUAGAAACUGCACUCUCUCAAGCAAAAAUUCACACUUUGUCAAUUUUGCAUACAACUUCUCCUUCUUUAGUGUUUCCAACACUAUUCUUAAAUGUUCUGCAUGAUCUUCUGACGUCUCCGAAUAGACUAGAAUAUCAUCAAUGAACACUACGACAAACUUGUCCAAAUAUUGUUUGAACACUCUGUUCAUCAUAUCCAUAAAUGCGGCUGGCGCAUUAGUCAACCCAAACGACAUCACCAGAAACUCGUAAUGACCAUAACGAGUUCUGAACGCCGUCUUAGGUACAUCCUCCUUCCUCACCUUUAACUGAUGAUACCCCGUGCGCAAAUCUAUCUUAGAAAAAUACUUUGCCCCUUUCAACAGAUCAUCGAUCCUGGGCAAUGGGUAUUUAUUCUUAAUCGUUAACUUGUUCAACUCUCGAUAGUCGAUACAAAGUCUUAACAACCCAUCCUUCUUCUUUACAAAUAACACCGGUGCUCCCCAAGGAGACACACUCGGUUGAAUGUACUUCCUAUCUAAUAGUUCUUGUAACUGAACCAUUAACUCCUUCAUCUCAACCGAUGCCAUCCGAUAUGGUGCCCUUGAAACUGUUGCCGUUCCCAAUAACAGAUUAAUUACAAACUCAACUUCCCUAUCCGGUGGAAUACCCGGUAACUCCUCCGGAAAUACAUCCGCGAACUUUUGCACUAUAGGUAUCUGGUCCAAGGAUGUUCCCACUUUUUGGGUAUCCACAAUGUGACACCCCCGAAUCCGGUACUUCCAUUUCCACAAGAUUUGGUGUUCACUGUACAAACAUCAUCUAUCUAUCUACCCGUAAAUAAAAUGCAAACCAUACAAUAGAUAGAAAUAAUAAUAAAAUCUCUCCCCUUAUGGGGUUACAUCAACUGAAUAAUAAUAAAUCCCAGGUUACUCUAACCUUAAAAUAUCUGUGCGGAAAACAUAAACAAAUAAGUCUUAGUAACAUCAAUUCUAAUUACAUCACAUAACCACANNNNNNNNNNNNNNNNNNNNNNNNNNNNNNNNNNNNNNNNNNNNNNNNNNNNNNNNNNNNNNNNNNNNNNNNNNNNNNNNNNNNNNNNNNNNNNNNNNNNNNNNNNNNNNNNNNNNNNNNNNNNNNNNNNNNNNNNNNNNNNNNNNNNNNNNNNNNNNNNNNNNNNNNNNNNNNNNNNNNNNNNNNNNNNNNNNNNNNNNNNNNNNNNNNNNNNNNNNNNNNNNNNNNNNNNNNNNNNNNNNNNNNNNNNNNNNNNNNNNNNNNNNNNNNNNNNNNNNNNNNNNNNNNNNNNNNNNNNNNNNNNNNNNNNNNNNNNNNNNNNNNNNNUAAAUUUUUGAAAUAACAAGCCAUAAUCAUACGUUGUAAUCUUAUGAAAUUGAUGAUAUGGAAACACACAAUAUAUAUAUAUAACAUGCCAUAUAACUCGAAUUAUUACAUAUAUUCUUAUAACAACAGAAUUUCCCAAAUACAGAGACUCACAGAAGUAUGAAAGCCAUUUUUAUGAAAACUUAAAAGACGUAAAAUAAGAAUUUGGGUUGAAGAGAAUUACCCAAAGCGUAGAUUAAAUAAAAUGACAAAUCUCUCUACUUCAAUCACGGAGUUUCUCCCAAUCUCUCUCAAACUUUCUCAAACUCUCUCUCUGUUAAACUUUGUCAGACUUAGAAAUAAUAAGGAAAAGAAAAGAAGGCGUAUACUAAUACAUAAGGUAAACUGAUGCGCAUGAUGGAGGUCAGUUACCUAUCAUGGGUAACUGCUCCCAACCUCUCUUAGUGCCAUGUUUGGCUAGCAAGAAUGGGGUUUAAAAUCAUUUAAUUUAAUAAAUCAUUAUCAUAUAGUUUAAAUAAUGUCACAUCCAUAUAAAAUAAAUCUAAUAUCUUAUUUAAUUUACUUUAAAUAAAAUAUAAUAAUUUCUCAUUAAUACACAUAGUCACAUAAUUCAAAUUCUCUUUGAUUAAUAAUGUCAAAUUAUUAAAUCUCUAAUUAAUAAUUAAAUUAAUUAAAAUAACAUAGGCUUAUUAAAUAUUUCUUUUAAUUCAAUAAGCUCACAUAAUCACAUACUUCGAAUAAUAAAAAUUCUCCACAUUAAAUUAAUAAAUUUAACACAUAUGAUUAAAUUAAUCUAUCACAACUUCAUCAAUUAAUUAUUUAAUCUAAUAAUUAAUUCAUCAAAAAAUAUUUAUUCAAUCAAAUAAAUAUUAAAAUUAAAUUAUAAAAUUUCGGUUGUCACAUCUUUCCCCUCUUAAAAGGAUUAUGUCCCCAGAAUCAUAACUCAAACAAGUCGUCCCGUUACACAUAACAUGGCACAGAUAACCUACACACCCUUUUCUCAACAUCUUCCUAGCUUGUGUCAUCGACAGACAACAAGAGCGUCUCGGUGAUUUACUACCGAAGAACACUACCUUGGUUUUCUUAGAAAGCCGAAGGUUCACACUUUUCCUAUGGCAAUCUAUUAUCGCCUUAUGGUUAACCAACCAAUCCAUACCAAGAAUUACAUCGAAUUCUUUUAACCUUAUCGGUACCAAAUCUACCGAUAACUUAUUCCCUCUAAUAUCUACACAACAAUCCUUAUGAAUAUGUUCAAUGGGGAUUAUUUCUUCGUUUGCUACCUUAACAUCUAAAGGUAUUGGUAACUUUUCAGGGAUUAACUAAUCGCUUAGCAAAUUCACAUGCUAUAAAAGAACAAGUAGCACCCGAGUCAAAUAGCAUAAAUAAGCAUUUAUCUCAUUGACCAGAAUGAUACCUGCUACCACAUCUGUUGAUGCAACCGCAUCUUGGACAGUCAUAUUAAACGUACGGGUUGAGGGUCUACCCACUGAUGGUGUUGGUCCAGUAAUGGCUAAUUUACCACUACCAGAACCCUUAUUUCCCUCUAACCCUUUCUUCGGGCAAUUCAUUGCCAUGUGAUCUAAAGAUCCAUAGACAAAACACCCAUGGUUCUUCUUAGGGUUAGGACAGUUGGGUGACAAAUACCCCUCCUGGCCACAGUUGUAGUAGACUGCUUUCCCCUUUAAACAGACUCCCAUAUGAGUCUUUCCGCAUGUCUUACAUGCUUCCGUCCUUCUCUUGGGUUCUCCCUGCUUUACACCAGUAUUCCCAGGGUUAAAACUCUUCCUCUUAGGCAAGUUGCCACUUUCGCUGGCAACUUCAGCCUUACUCACUCCCUCUAACUUACUCUUGUUCUUUCGCUCUUUGUGGUACAGAGACAAUGCCUGACCACCACCUUCUGUUAUAAUCGCCUUUUCCAGAAUGGUCCCGUAGGAAGCACUCUAAAAAAUCGAUAUCCUACUAUAGAGCCAGGGUUUUAAGCCCUGCUCAAACCUGCGCUCCUUCAUCUCCUCUGUAUCCACCUGGUGUGAAGCAAAUCUCGCCAAUUCAUUAAACUUGGCAGCAUACUGGGGAACUGUCAUAUCCCCUUGCUUAAGUUCUAGGAACUUAAUCUCCAUCUUACCCUACAUGCUAGUAGGGAAAUAGUUCUCGAAGAAGACCUUCUUAAACUGUUCCCAUGUAACAGCUUCUGUCCUAGCCCCACCCUGGUGAGCUUCCCACUAGUAGUUGGCUUCUCCCUUCAUCAUGUAAGUCGCAAAAGAAGUCUUUUGCGCCUCACCUACGUUUGUUAUCACAAACGCCUUUUCUAUCUCUUUUACCCAUGUCUGGGCUUCUAAUGGGUCCAUCGUUCCUUUGAACUCAGGAGGACCCACACUUUUAAAUUCCUUAAAGGUAGUUGUUCUUACUACCCCAGGAGCUAUAGGAAUCCCACCCCCCACUUGGUUAAAUGCAGCCGUUAAUAAAUUAACGAACUCUUGCAUAGGGUUAUUAGGAUCCCCCUGAUUCUCAUUAUGAGACUCGGCCUCUUGGUUACGUUGUCUCCUUCUUGGCGGCAUAAUUCUGAUUAAAUAAAUAAAGUUUUGUUAUUAUCUAUUUAACUACUUGGUUAUCCUUUUCAAUCAACAAUAACCACUCAUACCACAACAAGCACAUUUAAAUAAAAAACUUCAUUAUAUAAAUAUGCUUUCAUAGUCAAAACUAUUUACAUCAUGUUCCCUUAGACAAAAGCUAUUACAUACUAUCCUGCGAUUGCCUUCUACAAAAAUUGGGAUUUACAAAAAUACUACCCUUUUAUUACACAAAAGAGGGUUUUACGUCACUACUCAUAUACAAAAAGAUCUAAUGAUCUACUAACACUGUCGAACGACAUUCUCAUAUUUCUGAUUUGCCAGAAUCGACACUAUAUCUCGACUUAUGGUAUGUCGAGUCUGUCCGGACUCAAUGGAAUAACAAGCAAUUUUUAGCUUGAAAUCCUCAUGAGCACAUUCGUGGAUGUAUGACAUCCUAUCUAUUUUCUGGUCUUUUUCAACCAGUUUCUGUUGAAGCUCUAGGACCUCAUCCUUAUAGUCUCGUGCCUUAUCUGUCCUAAGCACUUUCUCAUCGUGCUCUGACUCAAAGUCUGCCUCUGCAGAUUCCUUAGCCUCAUAUAAGGCGGUUAUCUCCUCAUUCUGCAUCUCUACCACAGUGCACAGAUGCACAUUCCUAUCCAACACUGCCAGAUACAAUGAUCUCAUUACAUCUGGAAGUGUUGGCUCCUGAGUACGUACCACUGUAUUAAUCGAUGUUACCUCCAUGUCCUCCUCUACUUCAAGCAUCACAUUAAGAUAUGACGUUAUCCCCCUCGUCUCCUCGGAGUAUUCCUCCCCAGAGAUGUACUCCUCAAUAUCUGAGUCUUCUAGUACAACUAACGGUACCUCCACCACUAGCAUUGGUACAAUCUCAACAUGGUUCACUGACUCUUCAUUCACGACGUGAAUGUCCCUAUACAUCAUGUUAUCGAUCGACAUCUACAAUAGCACAUAACAAGUUGAUUAGUUCAUAAUACACAAUAGUAUAAGCACAAAUCACAUUUCAUUUCUUUAAGGUUACUUUUCAUCUUUUAAAUCUUUCAGUACUGAGUUUCCUCAAUACCUUAUUAAUUCAUUUAACGCGAAUUUCUUUCUUCGGACUUUACCUUCCUUAUGAGGUUAUUAGCCUAAGGUUCUUCCCCCCUUAAGUUUUAUAACCUAACGCUUUGAUACCAACCUGUGACGCCCCCAAAUUUGGGUAUCUUCCAACCCGGCAGAUGGUGCUCCACUGUACUAAUAUCCAUACAAUAAUUCCAUUGAAAUACAAUAAAAUGAAUGUAAUUACUAUCUUCUUAUUAUAAUCAAAGUAUAAUCCUUCCCAGGUUCAUAAACCGAUUACAUCGUUCAUUGUUCAUAAUGUAUAAUACAUACAAACUUACAAAUCUAUUACACAAUGGCUAAGCAUCCAUCUUAUCUUUUCCCUUUUCUCUCUUGGCAUUCUCAGUACGUUCAUCCUUAACUACAGUUAUAUAAUUCACGCAAGAAGUGAGCAUGACAUCCCAGCAAGUUUAACAAAGGAUAACAGUAAUACCACAUUCGUGAAUUAUAUAACAAUUCUUACAUAACAGAACAAAUAGUUAUGAAGUAUUAUAAAGCAAUAAUACUUUAACAGUUCAUAACAUCAAUUCCCAAAGUAUAAAAUAGAUUAGGAAUUCUGAACCGAUCAAUAGACCAUGAACAUUAACUUUCAGUUUUCAUACUUGAAAAGGAUUUCACAGCACUAAGGCUGUUACGUCCGCAUUACUUACUAGCACUUCUAGGUGAUCAGCCUAUUAUACUCUAUGUUGAUCAACAUUCGUUCAUUAAACGUAUUUACGUUUAAUAUUUUUGGCAAACUCGCGUGCCCAUUGAAUAAUCGAUGAAAAAUACUUUUGUUUGUUCAUAAACAAACCUUACCUUCACGUCCAUACAAAUUACUUGGCAUAGGAUAGCGUUAACAUUUCUAUAUAGAAAGAUAUGAAUCAUAAUCAAUCUAUGUCCUACGAAUAGUCUAGCUGAGUUAAAAUCUGGCAUCGACCCUUUCUUUAAAACCAGUCGUGCAACUCAGUUCAAUGAAUCACAUAAAACUUGGCUAACUUGGAAGUUAGACAAGCGUUAAGAAAACUUUCCUUUUAGCAUCUUCAAAUAACUUAAUCGACUGACCACAGCCUUUACAGAAUCUACAUGAUAUAUUCACAUAGCACACUGUAAUUAGCUAUCAAACAAUUUUAUGUCUUAGUUAACUUAAUAUCAUUAAUAAAGUCAACUCAACUUAUUACCCUUCGUCCCGACUUAUUAACCAACUGACGUUAUUAACCGGACUCUAAAAUUGUUAGCGAAGCACCAACGUUGUUCAUCAUUCAUAACCUAUUAAUAUGCAUUCAACUCCUAAAUUCAUUACCAUAUACCUUAUUAUAGGUAGUAUAGGAAUAGCUUUAAUACACUUAUGAAGUGUACAAACAUUACCCCUAUAGGUUCCUGAACAUUUGAAGUUUGAAACCUAAGUCACUAUCCAAAUCCUUACACUCGCACUGCGGCACGACCUCUAUAGCACUAGACUGGCGCUGCGGCGCCAGUUAGCAGUGUCUAGCUUCCGGUCUCGGCGCUGCGGCGCGAGACUUUAUACUCAUAGUGGCGCUACGGUGCCAUUUAGAAAUAUGCAACUACACUGUGUCGGCGCUGCGGCGUGGCAUUUAACACUACGUCUGGCGUCGCGGCGCCAGACCUCAGUACCAGAUUUUCUCAACAGUUAGAAAAUUUUAUGAAAUUCCCAGGGCCGUAACUUCUUCGUUAUAAGCCCGAUUUGGUCCGUUCAAAAGCCUACAUGUCAUAAAUGACAUACUCUACUCGUUCAUAUAAGAAUUCGAUACUUUCAAAUUCAAUAACGCAAAAUUCACUAUUGAGUUCAAUUUAUAAACGUUCGUAAACGUUAAUGAGUGUUCAAUGCUCAUUUUCUUUGUUUUAAGUCAGAAUCCGACGAUUCUCGAACCCAUAACUCUUAAUUACCCUAUCUCACGUGUUGUCAUUUAAAAACAACAUUUUCAAGUCUCACGGCAACUUUCGACUACCAAUCCGGAAUUUCAACGUUUUCGACGUUUAACAUCUAUUUCCGUGAAAUUCGCCAUAACUUCGUUACUAAUGUUCUUUAACCUAAAUCACAUGGAAUACUCCAUGGAUUUCAUAUCUACAUCCUAACCAAACAAGAUGCACAUAUUAACGUAUUGAUGGAGUUCAAUUGUUUAUCAACAAUCAAUCUCAACAAUCAAUAUUUUCAUGGUUUAAAAUUCUAUCGAAUCUCAUGAUUCUUAUGAUCUCAUGACUUAUAGAGAUUGAAUCUAUGGUAAGUCACUCUUAUUCCACCAUACAAACCAUACCCCACCCAUCUAUGAUUCUCCAUGAUAAAAGAAAACCAAAAGAGAUGAAAGUAGAAAUAAGGAAUAUUACCUUUAAGAACUCUUAGUGUUCUUGAUGAACUUCUAAUGAAAAAGCUUCAAGGUAGAAGAAAUGUUUAAGUCUAGCUCUCUUUCUCUCUCAAAUAUAUAGGUUGAGCCUUGGAAAAACAUCAAAUGGCCAACUCUAGCUUUCUAUUUAUAAGCAAAUGAAAUGGAGGGUAAUAUAGACAUUACACCACUCCACCUCCUUACUAUUCACACUUGGUCACCAAGUAAAAUGCUUGGUGACCAAGCCUUAUUCUUGGUUUGCACACCAAGGUGGCCGGCCUACCCUUGCCAUGGGUCAUCCCAUGGGUUGCCCCAUGGGUUUUACCCAUUCGAUGACCCACCAGUUCGAUUUUCUUGCAUUGGGCUUAACCAAUCUAAUAUUGGGCCUUGACUUGGCUUAACAUAUUAAUUCCUUGGGCUUGCCUCUAUAAUUGAUUGAACUUGGCCUAAUCCAAAAUAAUUUAAUUCAAAUUAAGUCUUAACCUAAUUCAAUAAUACUAAUCGUAUUCUAUACGUAUAAUUCACGUAUUCUCACCGUAUACUACUCGUACAAUAAUCAUAUUAUACGUCGCAUUUACUCAUCGUAUUAUACAUAGAUACUAAAUAAUAUCAUAAAUGUAUAACACUUGCAUUAACCCUAAUGCAAUUCCCUCUACGCGUUUCAUUUCCUUCUCGGAAAUCAAUAUACUCAACCCUUAGGUUUUAAGUCCGCAGGCGAAAACUGCGUUUGCCAUAAAUAAAAUAUUAUGAGAUAUUUCAUCUUAUCUCGAUAUUCUAUCAUUAUGCGUUUCUCAAAAUUUCAAAAUAAUUCCCCGAACAGAAAUGGAUGAAUAGUGUUUUUACGGAAAUUUCUCAAAAAAGAUUUAUUUUCGUCUUGAAAAUUCUAAACAAUUAAUUCUAGCACGUAGCCAAAUUACUAACCACGUUAGCACAUUCUAGGUCAUAGAACGACCUUCACAUAGCUUACUCACAUAAUAAAUCAAUUAAAUUCAUUUAAUUCACAUAAUCAAAUAAAAAUUUAAUUGCCAUAAAAAUCUGAUUUUCUUGGGCGUUACAACGCUUCGUAAGGCAGCAUGCCAAUACUCGCGUGAUAACUAUUAUUAUAGGCAAAUUCAACCAAUGGUAAAUGAUCGUCCCAAUUUCCCUUGAAAUCCAUGAUACAUGCUCUAAACAUAUCUUCUAGUGUUUGGAUAGUUCUUUUUAUUUGUCCGUCGGUCUGGGGAUGGUACGUUGUGCUCAUUCUCAGCUGUGUUCCCAAACAUUCUUGUAAUCGUUUCCAGAAAUUAGAUGUGAAACAUGGAUCUCUUCUGAUACAAUGGACACAGGUACACCGUGUCUUGACACAAUUUCCUUCACGUAUAAUUUUCUCAACCGAUCUAGGUUAAAUCUAAUCUUGAUUGGCAAAAAGUGUGCCGACUUCGUCAAUCAAUUGACAAUCACCCAGAUGGCGUCAUAACCUUGUUGAGUCAUUGGAAGACCUACCACAAAAUCCAUUGUGAUAUGCUCUCAUUUCCAUUCUGGUAUCUCUAAUGGUUGUAACAAUCUGCUUAGCCUUUGAUGUUCAACUUUAACUUUCUGACACGUUAAGCAUUUCACCACACACUCAGCCACAUCCUUUUUCAUAUUCGACCACCAAAAAUAAUGUCUAAGAUCCUGGUAAAUUUUUGUACUUCCAAGGUGAAUCAAAUAUCUUGAGUUGUGAGCUUCACUCAGAAUUUCCUCCUUAAUCUCUGGUACUGGCGGGACCCAAAUUCUCCCUUUGAAUCGAAGUAACCCUUCUGAAUCGAUUUUGAAUUUGUUUUCCUCACCUUCAGAUACUUUUCUUCUUAUCUUUUCACAAUCUUCAUCCUGAAGUUAUGCAUUCUUCACCUUAUCUAUCAACGUUGAACCGUUUCCCAUCUGGAACAACUUUUCAUUUGAUUCUAUCGGAUAUUUAAUUUUCAACUCCAUCUUAGCCAUUUUCGACACUAGCUUCUCCUGAGCAGUCAACAACAUUAACUUCUCCCGUCCCUUCCUACUUAAAGCAUCAGCAACGACAUUCGCCUUUCCGGGAUGAUAGAAAAUAUCGCAGUCAUAGUCUUUGAUCAGCUUCAACCAUGUUCUUUAUCUCAUAUUCAAAUCUUUUUGUGUAAAGAUAUACUUUAGACUUUUAUGAUCAGUAUAUAUCUCACACCUCUCUCCAUAAAGAUAAUGUAUCCAAAUUUUUAGGGCAAACACCACCUCCGCCAACUCUAAGUCAUGAGUCGGAUACCCUUUCUCUUAAUCUUUCAACUGACGUGAUGCAUACGCAAUAACUCUGUCGUUCUGCAUAAGCACACAACCUAGUCCUUUAUGCGAUGCAUCACUAUACACCACAAAAAUUCCUGUAUCAUCAGGCAAUGACAACACAGGUGCUGAACUCAACUUCUUCUUCAAUUCUCGAAAACUUUCCUCGCACUUCUCUAUCCAAACAAAGUUAAUCGUCUUCCGAGUUAAAUUCGGCAAUGGAGUUGCGAUCUUAGAAAAGUCCUGAAUAAAACGCCUAUAGUAACCUGCAUAUCCUAAGAAACUCCUUACCUCUAACGGUGUCUUCGGCUGAUCCAAGUUUAUUACAGCUUCCACUUUUGAUAGAUCUACCAAAAUUUCGUCCUUAUCAACGUGUCCGAGAAACUAUAUACGUUCCAACCAAAAUUCACAUUUUGAGAACUUAGCGUAUAACUUCUCUUUUCUUAAUGUCUCCAAUGUCACUUUUAAGUGUUCAACAUAUUCCUCCUUGGUUUUGGAAUAUACCAAUAUAUCAUCAACAAAUACCACCACAAAUUUGUCUACGAAUGGUUUAAACACCCUGUUCAUCAAAUCCAUGAACGCUGCAGGUGCGUUGGUUAAACCAAAAGACAUAACCAGAAACUCGUAAUGACCAUACCGAGUUCUGAACAUUGUCUUUGGUACAUCUUGAUAAGUGGAUUUUAUAUCCACGGAUCGGUUUCUAGUUCAAGCUUAUUUAUUGUUAAUUCCUUGUUUUUAUGAUCAUUUUUACUUGUUUUUUGUUAAUUUAUGUGUAGGAUGGUUGGUAUGGUAAAUGAGUGAAAAAGGAGGCAAUUGGAGCAUUAUUGUAGCAAGUAUGAAGAUUAACCAAAGUCAUUUUUUAGUGAGGUAGCCGGCCGGGGCGGGCCCAUUUUAGCCUUACACCCCCGCUGGGGCGGGGGAUCUUCAUUCUAGUGGACAGUAGCCUAGCCAGCCGGGGCGAGCGUUUUCUAUGUGUAUACCCUCGCCGAGGCGGGGGUCCCAAAUUCUGGCUAUCCUAACUUGAUUCAAACACUAUUGGGACUUGGAUUUUGGUUCUUGCAUGGCUUUAGGACUUUAGUUGGCAUGGAAUUGAGCAGAGAUUGCUUGUGUACACGUAUAUUAACAUAAACACAAGAUCAAGAGAUUACACAAGGCAAUUAACAGAGAUUACAUACACAUUUUCAUAUCGGGCAUUGGAGUGAAGAUUUUGAAGGAACGUUCAUAUCAAUUGCGGAUUAAGGUUAAAGUGAGGGGUGUUUUGAUUUAUUCUUUGUUCAGUCUUAUAUUCGUAAUUGAAAGGAUGUUAUCUUUAAUUUAUUCAGUUAUUAUUUCAUUGAUGAUGAACUAAUUUACUUUUUAGGCUUAUGACGGA
rnacentral:lncRNA from 1 species